rnacentral:rRNA from 1 species
UUGAAGAGUUUGAUCAUGGCUCAGAUUGAACGCUGGCGGCAGGCCUAACACAUGCAAGUCGAACGGUAGCACAGAGAGCUUGCUCUCGGGUGACGAGUGGCGGACGGGUGAGUAAUGUCUGGGAAACUGCCUGAUGGAGGGGGAUAACUACUGGAAACGGUAGCUAAUACCGCAUAACGUCGCAAGACCAAAGAGGGGGACCUUCGGGCCUCUUGCCAUCAGAUGUGCCCAGAUGGGAUUAGCUAGUAGGUGGGGUAACGGCUCACCUAGGCGACGAUCCCUAGCUGGUCUGAGAGGAUGACCAGCCACACUGGAACUGAGACACGGUCCAGACUCCUACGGGAGGCAGCAGUGGGGAAUAUUGCACAAUGGGCGCAAGCCUGAUGCAGCCAUGCCGCGUGUAUGAAGAAGGCCUUCGGGUUGUAAAGUACUUUCAGCGGGGAGGAAGGUGUUGUGGUUAAUAACCACAGCAAUUGACGUUACCCGCAGAAGAAGCACCGGCUAACUCCGUGCCAGCAGCCGCGGUAAUACGGAGGGUGCAAGCGUUAAUCGGAAUUACUGGGCGUAAAGCGCACGCAGGCGGUCUGUCAAGUCGGAUGUGAAAUCCCCGGGCUCAACCUGGGAACUGCAUUCGAAACUGGCAGGCUAGAGUCUUGUAGAGGGGGGUAGAAUUCCAGGUGUAGCGGUGAAAUGCGUAGAGAUCUGGAGGAAUACCGGUGGCGAAGGCGGCCCCCUGGACAAAGACUGACGCUCAGGUGCGAAAGCGUGGGGAGCAAACAGGAUUAGAUACCCUGGUAGUCCACGCCGUAAACGAUGUCGACUUGGAGGUUGUGCCCUUGAGGCGUGGCUUCCGGAGCUAACGCGUUAAGUCGACCGCCUGGGGAGUACGGCCGCAAGGUUAAAACUCAAAUGAAUUGACGGGGGCCCGCACAAGCGGUGGAGCAUGUGGUUUAAUUCGAUGCAACGCGAAGAACCUUACCUACUCUUGACAUCCAGAGAACUUUCCAGAGAUGGAUUGGUGCCUUCGGGAACUCUGAGACAGGUGCUGCAUGGCUGUCGUCAGCUCGUGUUGUGAAAUGUUGGGUUAAGUCCCGCAACGAGCGCAACCCUUAUCCUUUGUUGCCAGCGGUUAGGCCGGGAACUCAAAGGAGACUGCCAGUGAUAAACUGGAGGAAGGUGGGGAUGACGUCAAGUCAUCAUGGCCCUUACGAGUAGGGCUACACACGUGCUACAAUGGCGCAUACAAAGAGAAGCGACCUCGCGAGAGCAAGCGGACCUCAUAAAGUGCGUCGUAGUCCGGAUUGGAGUCUGCAACUCGACUCCAUGAAGUCGGAAUCGCUAGUAAUCGUAGAUCAGAAUGCUACGGUGAAUACGUUCCCGGGCCUUGUACACACCGCCCGUCACACCAUGGGAGUGGGUUGCAAAAGAAGUAGGUAGCUUAACCUUCGGGAGGGCGCUUACCACUUUGUGAUUCAUGACUGGGGUGAAGUCGUAACAAGGUAACCGUAGGGGAACCUGCGGUUGGAUCACCUCCUU